CAGAAUGGGCCCUUUUCACAUUUCCGGGUUUGGAAUGCGGAAGUAAAAAAUAGCAGGGUAAACAACGCGUGUAGAACGUAUAGACGAAAUGGAGCAGCAUAGGAAAUGCUACUGCAGCGAGCCUUUCUGCUCAAACAGCAAACGCAAACAACCAAACCUGAGUUUCCACGACUUUCCAAAUGUCACACGUUUACGCGGUAAAUAGAUAAGAGCAAUUAGGAGAGAGGAAAAUGCCACAUUUACGGUUCUGCGCGGCAGUACAUAUGCGUGUAGCCAGCACUUCAGGCCGGAUGAGCUAUAUGUCAAAGCGGGAGGGAACAGAGCCAGGAAUCAGUUUCACCACGAUUCGCCUGGAAUAAUUUUGGGAGUCGAUAUGAAAACCGCCUGACACCCUACGAGAGGGCAAGUACUCGUCUCGGUUUGAACACUGAAGCUGCCAUGGGACAGAGAGACAAGGAGGACCUGAAGCUAUGCUAACCGAGCCAAGCACGAUUACUGCCGUCCACCGUCUCCUGGCAAAGUGGACGCUGCAGCUGCACGAAUAAGGGAGCUGGAGGAAAAAGUGAUUGAGCUGGAGAAUUAAAUAAAACAGCUUGCAGACCAACCUAGGCUUAACCAUUUCUGCUCAACUAAAGAAGAGUUCCACUUUUUCCACACAAUUUCCCUUGACUCAGUACAAAAUUCUGUCUAAAUAUUUUAGCUUUAACUUACCAUGUGAGCUUCAUUUGUUUUUUGUAUUUUUAGAUUUUUUUAAUUUGAGUGUUUUAUAAAUAUAAUAAAUGAAAUACAUUUUAAUCCUCUUGUC